UCCAUCGCGCUAUCAUUGGAUGUAAUUGGUUAAGAUUGGAUAUGAUUGGUUUGUGCGAUAAAUCCCGCCUCUCGUUGACGUGCGCGUUCCGCGCGUAGAUUUGACUGAACAAAUAAUGGCGUCAACCGGAAGACUAAUUGAAAAUGGCCUCCUGGGCCCCUUGCGGUUCCCCCCUGAUGCCUGCUGGCACAUUGACAGAGGUCAGAAUAAUAAACAGCAUGCUGAUGGACCUUGACCUGAGAAAGACCAUGCGACUCCAGAGAGCUGAACACUGGAAAAUGUGUCAGGCCAAGACCACGGGCCUGGAGAAAACACUGUCUGGAGCUGCAGAGAACCGCUGAGAGAGUGCUGAUAGCUGAACUGAACAGCGGCUACCAGUCAGCCUAGUAGAGAGAGCGAGAGUUGUGGCUCCAGUUGGUGUGUUUUAUCUGAGUAAUUAGCUGUAAUCAGUCCUCUCAGCUCUCUGGGUGUUCCAGAGCCCCAUUUUCACACGCUGACACACACACACACACAGGCACAGCAAAUAUGGAGCUAACACUAUUCUGACAUGCAAUUACUUCACAGAAUUUCACAAUUGUCUUCAUUGCACCAGACCUUUUAUGAAAUAUUUUUAUGAAAUAUAUGGCUAGUGACAAUACAAAAAAAUAUGAAAGGGCAACCUUUUGUAGUUAAUGACUAGGAAUAUACUGUACAAACAUGAACAAUCUUAAAAGGAUAUCAAUGAAAUCAGAGAGAUUUCUGUCCAUCCAUUAGAAAAUGAUGCUUCAAAACAUUCUGUAAACUAAACAAAACAAGAAAUCUGUAUGAAUCAAGCGGUUUAAUCAAAGUCUUCUGAAGAGACGUGACGGCUUUAUAUGAUGAACAGAUUUAACAUUUUAUUCACAUUGAGCACUCAGAUGUAGUAAAUGGAAGCUCAAGUGUUAAAAAAAAAUCUUUUGUGUUUCGAAGAUAAACGAAAGUCUUAUGAGUUUAGAUGAGUAAUUGCUUAUUCAGUCAUAAAUUACAGAAUUUUCAUUUCUGGGUGAAUUAACACAACAUAAAAAUGUAUUCUUAAGUUAAUAAAUUAUAGUUUUUAGGCAAUUGCUUGUUACUUUGUGUAUUUCUGCUCCACCAAUGAAAAUUCAAAACGAAGUCAAACAGUAGCAACACAGUAGUGUUUUCAUUCAGUGUUUCUGAACGAAUCGCUUAACUGAAUGAUUCUGAGCA